UACGGAGGGUGCAAGCGUUAAUCGGAAUUACUGGGCGUAAAGCGCACGCAGGUGGCUGAGUCAGUCGAUUGUGAAAGCCCUGGCUUAACCUGGGAAUUGCAGUCGAUACUACUCAGCUAGAGUAUGGGAGAGGGUAGUGGAAUUCCCGGUGUAGCGGUGAAAUGCGCAGAUAUCGGGAGGAACACCAAUGGCGAAGGCAGCUCGCUGGGACGGUACU
rnacentral:rRNA from 1 species